UACGGGGGGGGCAAGCGUUGUUCGGAAUUACUGGGCGUAAAGGGUUCGUAGGUGGCCAACUAAGUCAGACGUGAAAUCCCUCAGCUUAACUGGGGAACUGCGUCUGAGACUGGAUGGCUUGAGUGCAGGAGAGGAACGCGGAAUUCCAGGUGUAGCGGUGAAAUGCGUAGAUAUCUGGAGGAACACCGGUGGCGAAGGCGGCGUUCUGGACUGCUGCUGACACUGAGGAACGAAAGCCAGGGGAGCAAACGGG
rnacentral:rRNA from 1 species